GUGCUUGUUUCGGCGGCACUUAUACUAAAAUUGGAAUAAUGCAGAGAAGAUUACAUGGCCCCUGCACAGGAAUGACAUGUAAAUUCUUAAAGUAUUCCAUAUUUUU
ensembl:snRNA U6 U6 spliceosomal RNA